GUAGAGGUAGUUUAAUCGGUCAAAACAAUCAGCGGUGAGGUCGCGGCUCACAUGAUAGUUGUAGGUUCGAAUCCUGUCCUCUGCACUA
rnacentral:tRNA from 1 species